rnacentral:rRNA from 1 species
CGUGCCUCCACCCACGCCGGCGUCGGCGGGCGUAUUUCGCCUCACAGUAGGUCGCCGCGACCCGUUGCUUUUGGGGACGUCGAAGGCCCGGACGGAUUGGUACCCUACCGGCUGGGGAUGCGGCUUCGGCUUCUCCUCUUGUCCGGUGGGCGAAACCGCCGGUGUCCUGGCUGCCCUGCGACGGUCGUAGAGACGAGCCCUCCCCUUCGGGGGGGCGGCUCUCGCGGCGUGCAAAAGGUCGGUGAUCCACCCGACCCGUCUUGAAACACGGACCAAGGAGUCUAACAUGUGUGCGAGUCAGUGGGCGCACUAAACCCAGAGGCGUAAUGAAAGUGACACGGGUUCGGCUGUCGCCUCGUGUGGCAGCCGGACUCAGGGCCGAUCCCUCACCGGUUGCCCUCGCCUCUCUCCCGCGUCUCGGUAAGCCGGGUGAGCUAUUUUCCCCGGCCGCUGCUGCGGGGCUCGGGGGGAGGCGGGGUUGCGAUGGUGUCCGUAAAAAAGAGCCUGCUGUUGCAGGGGGGCGCAGGCCCGGGACUUGCCAGGACGCCGCGAGACUGUCACUUUGCUGUGAGGCUCUCGGGUCGAUCAGCGGGUCAUGCGUGCAGUCGGCAAGUACCAUGAGCAGACAUGUUGGGACCCGAAAGAUGGUGAACUAUGCCUGGCCAGGAUGAAGCCAGAGGAAACUCUGGUGGAGGUCCGUAGCGAUUCUGACGUGC